AGCGGCGGGUCUCUUUCCCCCCCGGUGACCGUCAGCGGCGUCUUAGCCUCCCGACACUGCGCUGUGGUAUUCAGAGCGCGCGCCCGCCCGCGCGGGAGAACGGAGCCCCCUUUGAACUGGGACCACACCGCACACACGACACAACACUCCGGGCUUCGAGAAGGAUGCAGGGAUUCAUCUUAUUGGACUCUGUCGCCCAUUAAUUUAGUCCGUAGUGUAUUACUAGACAACGAGCCGCCUGAUGACCAGCCCCGGGAUUUCACCUCGUCCUUCAGAGCCGCGCGAAUCACCAGAAAAAACGGCCGACCUUUCCCCCCUCCGACGGUCCGCCUCGGCUCUUUCCACAUAAAAGAAGCCCAGAGGCCACCGUCAGCAUCGUGCUCCGCCAUGACUAAAACAUCUGAAUGAAGCCCAGUGUGCAUGAGCCCGGAUGGCAGCGCAGGCUGAUGUCCAUAAUCCGGAUUCCCUGCGCUACUUGUUUUUUGGCCCUAAAUCUCACAGGUGCCUGAAUUUUUGUGCGGCCUGGAGCAUCCAGUCCUGACUCUUAAGACUUGUUUGCACCUGAGUAGUUGAGGGAACAAACGCAC
rnacentral:lncRNA from 1 species